UACGAAGGGGGCUAGCGUUGUUCGGAAUUACUGGGCGUAAAGCGUGCGCAGGCGGCUUCUCAAGUCAGGGGUGAAAGCCCAGAGCUCAACUCUGGAAUUGCCUUUGAGACUGAGUGGCUUGAGUACGAGAGAGGUGAGUGGAAUUCCCAGUGUAGAGGUGAAAUUCGUAGAUAUUCGGAGGAACACCAGUGGCGAAGGCGGCUCACUGGCUCGAUACUGACGCUGAGGUGCGAAAGCGUGGGGAGCAAACAGG
rnacentral:rRNA from 1 species